rnacentral:tRNA from 1 species
GCCCCCGUAGCCCAAUUGGCAGAGGCGAACCCCUUAAAAGGGUUAUGUUGUCGGUUCAAUUCCGAUCGGGGGUACC